GGAUUGCGGCUCAGUGGUAGAGCACUCGCCUAGCAUGUGUGAGGCCCUUGGUUCGAUCCUUAGCACCA
rnacentral:tRNA from 1 species